ACACUCCUUGCUCCUAGUAGUCGGUCCUCCAGCGCAGCGCUCCCUUCAACCCUGGGCACUGGCUUGGUUCCAGGGGAGACCAAGUCAUUACCCCCGGCCCCGGAGGAGCCCAUCCUGGAGCGGGGGGAUUCUGAUUUGGACAAGGGCCCUCUCUACGCUCAGUUGGAUCACGCUCCCCGUUGGAGCCCCCGCCGGCUGAGUCCUGACACCCCCACCAUCUAUGCUGUUGUUGUCUGAUGGGCUGGGACCCCUCCUCCCCUUCUGCCUCAUCCCCACUAACCUCUUUCCCCUACUAGGAAUAAAGUGCUGUGGCCUUGGAACAA